rnacentral:rRNA from 1 species
GACGAACGCUGGCGGCGUGCUUAACACAUGCAAGUCGAACGGAAAGGCCCUGCUUUUGUGGGGUGCUCGAGUGGCGAACGGGUGAGUAACACGUGAGUAACCUGCCCUUGACUUUGGGAUAACUUCAGGAAACUGGGGCUAAUACCGGAUAGGAGCUCCUGCUGCAUGGUGGGGGUUGGAAAGUUUCGGCGGUUGGGGAUGGACUCGCGGCUUAUCAGCUUGUUGGUGGGGUAGUGGCUUACCAAGGCUUUGACGGGUAGCCGGCCUGAGAGGGUGACCGGCCACAUUGGGACUGAGAUACGGCCCAGACGCCUACGGGAGGCAGCAGUGGGGAAUAUUGCACAAUGGGCGGAAGACUGAUGAAGCAACGCCGCGUGCGGGAUGACGGCGUUCGGGUAGUAAACCGCUUUCGCCUGUGACGAAGCGUGAGUGACGGUAAUGGGUAAAGAAGCACCGGCUAACUACGU